rnacentral:lncRNA from 1 species
GCAAGAGCAGUUCUGUGAGCUGGCGGAGCCUGGCGUCUGCCUGCGUGACGUGGAGGAACCGCAGGCGGCGACCGCGGACAGAAUGUCCUCGUGAGUCCUCAUACAACCUAUCCUUAGGCGGUAACAGGCUGCAGCUGUUGAAGUCUAAUUUCACUCUAUUGAUUGGGUUUUUCAUGGGCCGAUCUGCUGAAUUCAGCCUAGGAGCUGAGGCCAACAUCUGAGUCUCUUCAGCAUACAAGUUUGAAAGAAGUCCUAGCAACUUCAAGCUCAGAACUACGGGUGGCAGCAGCUCCUUCUUGACGUCGAAGCCUCCCAUUCCAGAGAGAGUCAAGGCCCGGAUCAAAAAAAGCCCACAAGCACCGAUGACUGAGCUGCUGACUACCCCAGCAUCUCCAACUCAACCUCCUCUUUCUGCCUCUACCCAAAUUUUAAAACUUUUAAACAUGGGUUUAAAAAUGGUAAUGAGUAAAGUUGCAUCCAAGUGUAUCAAAUAAAAUUAAAU